rnacentral:lncRNA from 1 species
CAUCACAGAGAGAAGCAAGCAGAAGGCCCGGAGGAGAACAAGAUCCAGCUCCUCCUCCUCUUCUUCCAGUUCUUCUAGCUCCUCUUCUUCCUCCUCGUCCUCCUCCUCUUCCUCCAGUGAUGGCCGGAAGAAGCGGGGGAAGUACAAGGACAAGAGGAGGAAGAAGAAGAAGAAGAGGAAGAAGCUGAAGAAGAAGGGCAAGGAGAAGGCGGAAGCACAGCAGGUGGAGGCUCUGCCGGGCCCCUCGCUGGACCAGUGGCACCGAUCAGCUGGGGAGGAAGAGGAUGUCCUGACGGAUGAGCAGAAGUCCCGAAUCCAGGCCAUGAAGCCCAUGACCAAGGAGGAGUGGGAUGCCCGGCAGAGCAUCAUCCGCAAGGUGGUGGACCCUGAGACGGGGCGCACCAGGCUUAUUAAGGGAGAUGGCGAGGUCCUAGAGGAAAUCGUAACCAAAGAACGACACAGAGAGAUCAACAAGCAAGCCACCCGAGGGGACUGCCUGGCCUUCCAGAUGCGAGCUGGGUUGCUUCCCUGAGGGCCCCCGCUGGCCAAGGCCUGUGGACGACGCUGGCGGCCCAGCCUGGGCAGGUUUCAGGGUGCCAGUGGGAAGCCUGAUGGGUGCUGGUGGCCUUUCCCCCGUGGAUUGGUCUCUGGCCCAGCCCAGUCUCUUCUCAGGGGCAGGGGGUGGAGGUUGGGGUCACCGGCCUGCUUGGCACCCCCAUCUGAAAGAGCAGCACUUCUCAGCUAUUAAAGGCCCC